UUGACCUCGGAUCAGGUAGGGAUACCCGCUGAACUUAAGCAUAUCAAUAAGCGGAGGAAAAGAAACCACCAGGGAUUGCCUCAGUAGCGGCGAGUGAAGCGGCAAGAGCUCAAAUUUGAAAGCUGGCCCCCUCGGGGUCCGCGUUGUAAUUUGCAGAGGAUGCUUCGGGUGCAGCCCCCGUCUAAGUGCCCUGGAACGGGCCGUCAUAGAGGGUGAGAAUCCCGUCUGGGACGGGGUGUCUGCGUCCGUGUGAAGCUCCUUCGACGAGUCGAGUUGUUUGGGAAUGCAGCUCUAAAUGGGUGGUAAAUUUCAUCUAAAGCUAAAUACUGGCCGGAGACCGAUAGCGCACAAGUAGAGUGAUCGAAAGAUGAAAAGCACUUUGAAAAGAGAGUUAAACAGCACGUGAAAUUGUUGAAAGGGAAGCGUUUGCGACCAGACUCGCCCGCGGGGUUCAGCCGGCAUUCGUGCCGGUGUACUUCCCCGUGGGCGGGCCAGCGUCGGUUUGGGCGGCCGGUCAAAGGCCCUCGGAAUGUAUCACCCCUCGGGGUGUCUUAUAGCCGAGGGUGCAAUGCGGCCUGCCUGGACCGAGGAACGCGCUUCGGCUCGGACGCUGGCGUAAUGGUCGUAAAUGACCCGUCUUGAAACACGGACCA
rnacentral:rRNA from 1 species